rnacentral:snRNA from 1 species
UCAAGUGAUGAGAUUUGAUC